CUCAGUGAUAAUAGCAAAAGGGUCACACCUAGUUUACCCGCCUUUUGGCGGGUCCCAUUUCGAACCUAGAAGUUAAGCCUUUUGUCGCCAAUGAUACUUUCGCCUUGGGCGCAGGGACAGUAGGUUUUGCUGGGA
rnacentral:rRNA from 1 species